GGCUGUUUUUACGUUGGUUUAGAAGGCAACCCAGCUAAGAGUUGGGUAGAGUUUUAUUUCUUACAGAUGUGGCAAACACGAAUGUUAUGAAUUUCGUUUUUGGGGUCAAUGGAUUUGGCGCUGGUUGCUGUUACUGGCCUUUUGCGACGUCUUGAUAUCAGUUUGGAAUAAUAGCUCUGGACUCUGGGGAAUCCUCACUCAUACUCAGUCAACCUGCAGGCAGGUCGGCCAGUUUGUCCAGACAGGAUGUCCUUCUCGCUUGAAGGUCAAGAGAAACAUUACGUAAAACUGGCAUGCGGUGGUGUAGAGGUCGGGUGAGAAUGACACGUGUUUCAUCAUUAUCAAGAAGACCCAUCCCCCAACCUGCAGAAGGAAAGGCCAGUUUGCAUUUUCUUCAAUCGAAGGUCACGGAGAUCAUUAGUAAAUUAAGGCGUCGUGCUGCACUUGUGUAUUGUAUCGUUGAUGGCUGGUUUCAGCCAUGAUGUACCGAUGUCUCCUGGGUAUGGCGGAUAACAAAUCGCGACGCCGCCGUUUUACUACACAACACACGACACGACCAGUUGCUACGCCGAGGCCCCCACGUACUGCACUAAGGCUCCAGAUUAUUGUUCCACAAAUUAUGCUGCCCUGAGCUACUACACCGAAUCCCCGCUAUAUUACUCUUCCCCGAGCUACACUACCAAGGGUCGAUUACUGCACCGAUGCUCCGAAGUACUACAACACCAAGGCAAUGGAGUACUGUACAACUACAUAUCAUGGGGAGAAAAGGCGAAAGAGAUCAGUCGAGUGGUCAUCUCCGACACGGCAACAGCAACUGCAGUGCCAAGGCUCAGUAAUACACCUCUACUUAUGUUGCUCCGAUACUCUACACCAAAGUGCCUGAGUGCUGUACCGAGGGCACUAAUUUUUACAUCACCAAGGCACCGGAGUACUACACUGAAACAUACGCUGCUCCAGCUUAUUACACCGAGGCUCCCCAAUACUACACCACCAAGGCACUGGAGUACUACACCACUACAUAUCAUGUCGUAUGAAAGGAGAGAAAAGGUGAAAGAAUUCAGCAGACGAGUGAGCAUCUCCGUUACAGCAACAGGAACUGCCGUGCACUUAGUCAUCAACUUCAUUCUUCGUCCUGUUACAAGUUUUAAAUAAAGUAAACAAUGGCGUCGUGCUGCUGUUGGGUGUUGUAUCGUUGAUGGCUGGGUCGACCACUGGUGUAUUGUCUCCUGGGUAUGGCGGGUACCAAAGCACAACACUGUCUUACUAUUAAGCAUCAACUUCCGCUGCUCCAUCUUACUACACUGAGGCUCUCAAGUGCUACUCCAUCAAGGCUCCAGAUUGUUACACCACAGCUCAUGUUGCCUCAAGCUACUACGCUGAAUGUCCGAAGUAUUUGUUCCCCAGCUACACUACCAAAUGGUCGAGUACCACGUCGAGGCUCCCAAGUUCUACAUCACUAAGGCACCGGAGUACAAAAACGGUCGAAUACUACACAGAAGCAGUCAUGGUACACUAUGGCGUUGUGCCAUUGUGAAUGUUGCAACGGUGAUGGUUGGUUCGACCACUGGUGUGCCGAUUUCUCCUGGGUAUGGUGGGCGUGAACAUUCCGCAACAGCCGGUUACUACACUGAGGUCCUCCAAGUGCUACACCACAAAGCCUCCAAAACGUUACAACACGACUUAUGCUGCUCCGAUGUUACUACGCAGAAGCUCCGAAGUAUUUUCCUUCCCCGAGCUUCACUACCCUCACCACGCCGCUUACUGAACAACAACGUCAACAUCUUCUUGCUAUACGAAGGUCUUCAGUACUACGCCACAAAGGCUCCUGACUACUACACCGAGGAUUGUCACACCACUGAAGCGUCCAAGUACUGCACUACAACCUUCGUUGCUCCAGCUUACACCACGAAGGGAGCCGAGUACUACACCACGAAGGGAGCCGAUAAUUCGUACCACGUUGAACCGGAUUACUAAACCGAUGAUCCAGUUUACUACACUACAACCUGCGCUUUCUCCCAGAUACUACACCACCAAGGAAACCGAGUUACAUCACUACUUACGCUACUACCACCUACUGCACCGAAGUAUUACUCUGCCCCGAGUUAUUACACCACUAAGGCAGCCGACUAUUACACCAUAAACUACGCUUCCGCAACUUACUACAUGGAGCUUCCUUAAUGCCAGAGCCGACUAUUUGAGUAUUAUUAUUUGUCGGUUGUCUUCAUGAUCAUUGGUCACUGGGAGUUAAUUGUUGAUCUCAAAUGAGUAAAUAAAAAUUUUAAUGCGGGUAA